rnacentral:rRNA from 1 species
UACGGAGGGUGCAAGCGUUAAUCGGAAUCACUGGGCGUAAAGCGCGCGUAGGCGGCUUUGUAAGUCAGAGGUGAAAUCCCACGGCUCACCCGUGGAACUGCCUUUGAUACUGCAUUGCUUGAGUGUGUGAGAGGAUGGCGGAAUUCCUGGUGUAGGAGUGAAAUCCGUAGAUAUCAGGAGGAACACCGGUGGCGAAGGCGGCCAUCUGGCACAAUACUGACGCUGAGGUGCGAAAGCGUGGGUAGCAAACAGG